GUGCUCGCUUCCGGCAGCACAUAUACUAAAAUUGGAACCAUACAGAGAAGAUUAGCAUGGCCCCUGUGCAAGGAUGACACGCAAAUUCAUGAAGCGUUCCAUAUUUAA
ensembl:snRNA U6 U6 spliceosomal RNA